rnacentral:lncRNA from 1 species
CUGGAAAUAAGUUUGAAUAGCUAAAUAAGCCAAAGUGGAGCUUAAACUCUAUGUUUCUUUAAAUGAACCAAGCUCGAAUCUAAAAUGAAGUUUAGAACAAGCUUCUGAUUAAACUUGAGUGUUAUAGUAUUAGAUGAAAUCAGAGUGAGAUACUUGAAAAUUUGGGUUGGUUUGGCUCCUUGUCACCCUAAGUUUCACAUAUUUACAAAUGACAAUAAACUCUACUAAGGAUUAUGCAAUGGAUAGAUAAUUAACUAUCAAGAGAUUAUAAGACAUGGAGAUAUUACUAUUCUUUUUGAUGGGCCAUUACAAU